rnacentral:rRNA from 1 species
AUUGAACGCUGGCGGCAUGCUUUACACAUGCAAGUCGAACGGUAACAGGUUAAGCUGACGAGUGGCGAACGGGUGAGUAAUGCAUCGGAACGUGCCCGAUCGUGGGGGAUAACACUUCGAAAGAAGUGCUAAUACCGCAUACGAUCUGAGGAUGAAAGCGGGGGACCGUAAGGCCUCGCGCGAUCGGAGCGGCCGAUGUCAGAUUAGGUAGUUGGUGGGGUAAAGGCUAACCAAGCCGACGAUCUGUAGCUGGUCUGAGAGGACGACCAGCCACACUGGGACUGAGACACGGCCCAGACUGCUACGGGAGGCAGCAGUGGGGAAUUUUGGACAAUGGGCGCAAGCCUGAUCCAGCAAUGCCGCGUGCAGGAAGAAGGCCUUCGGGUUGUAAACUGCUUUUGUACGGAGCGAAAAGGCUCCCUCUAAUACAGGGGGCUCAUGACGGUACCGUAAGAAUAAGCACCGGCUAACUACGUGCCAGCAGCCGCGGUAA